rnacentral:rRNA from 1 species
ACGGAUAACAUACCGAAAGGUAUGCUAAUACGGGAUAAUAUAUUUGAGAGGCAUCUCUUAAAUAUCAAAGGUGAGCCAGUACAGGAUGGACCCGCGUCUGAUUAGCUAGUUGGUAAGGUAACGGCUUACCAAGGCAACGAUCAGUAGCCGACCUGAGAGGGUGAUCGGCCACAUUGGAACUGAGACACGGUCCAAACUCCUACGGGAGGCAGCAGUGGGGAAUAUUGCACAAUGGGCGAAAGCCUGAUGCAGCAACGCCGCGUGAGUGAUGAAGGCCUUCGGGUCGUAAAACUCUGUCCUCAAGGAAGAUAAUGACGGUACUUGAGGAGGAAGCCCCGGCUAACUACGUGCCAGCAGCCGCGGUAAUACGUAGGGGGCUAGCGUUAUCCGGAUUUACUGGGCGUAAAGGGUGCGUAGGCGGUCUUUCAAGUCAGGAGUGAAAGGCUACGGCUCAACCGUAGUAAGCUCUUGAAACUGGGAGACUUGAGUGCAGGAGAGGAGAGUGGAAUUCCUAGUGUAGCGGUGAAAUGCGUAGAUAUUAGGAGGAACACCAGUUGCGAAGGCGGCUCUCUGGACUGUAACUGACGCUGAGGCACGAAAGCGUGGGGAGCAAACAGGAUUAGAUACCCUGGUAGUCCACGCUGUAAACGAUGGGUACUAGGUGUCGGGGGUUACCCCCUUCGGUGCCGCAG